rnacentral:rRNA from 1 species
CAAUAGCGUAUAUUAAAGUUGUUGCAGUUAAAAAGCUCGUAGUUGGAUUUCUGGUUGAAGCGACCGGUCGGGCGUUGAUUCGUCUGCACUGGAGUCGGUUUUGGCCAUCCUCUAGGAAAGUGCGGCUGGUAUUAAGUUAUCGGGCGUAUGAUCCUGGUCUUUUACUGUGAAAAAAUUAGAGUGUUUAAAGCAGGCCUUCGCCUUGAAUACAUUAGCAUGGAAUAAUAAGAUAGGACUUUGGUCUAUUUUGUUGGUUUGCAGACCGAAGUAAUGAUUAAUAGGGAUAGUUGGGGGUAUUUAUAUUCCGAUGUCAGAGGUGAAAUUCUUAGAUUUUCGGAAGAUAAACUUAUGCGAAAGCAUUUACCAAGGAUGUUUUCAUUAA